rnacentral:rRNA from 1 species
CUACGAGAGGCAGCAGUGGGGAAUAUUGCACAAUGGGCGCAAGCCUGAUGCAGCCAUGCCGCGUGUAUGAAGAAGGCCUUCGGGUUGUAAAGUACUUUCAGCGGGGAGGAAGGGAGUAAAGUUAAUACCUUUGCUCAUUGACGUUACCCGCAGAAGAAGCACCGGCUAACUCCGUGCCAGCAGCCGCGGUAAUACGGAGGGUGCAAGCGUUAAUCGGAAUUACUGGGCGUAAAGCGCACGCAGGCGGUUUGUUAAGUCAGAUGUGAAAUCCCCGGGCUCAACCUGGGAACUGCAUCUGAUACUGGCAAGCUGGAGUCUCGUAGAGGGGGGUAGAAUUCCAGGUGUAGCGGUGAAAUGCGUAGAGAUCUGGAGGAAUACCGGUGGCGAAGGCGGCCCCCUGGACGAAGACUGACGCUCAGGUGCGAAAGCGUGGGGAGCAAACAGGAUUAGAUACCCCAGUAGUC